rfam:Stegodyphus mimosarum contig125619, whole genome shotgun sequence.
GCCUUCGUGGUGUAGUGGUCAGCCCGCUCGACGCAUAACCGAUAGGUCAGUGGUUCGAUUCCCGGCGAAGGCG